rnacentral:lncRNA from 1 species
AGCCAACACACACCCUUAUUCAUUCCUUAUUCACCAGGGAAGUAAAUUGAUCUACCUGCUACCAGAAACUUCAAGUUUCAGUUCAUGUAAUACUUCAACAGCCGAAAAGUAAGAGGGCCUUCAUUCAUUACUCUACCAGACUUCAAGGUAAACCUUGUCUUCAAUUCUUUCAAAUAGAUGAACAAAUAGCAUACACACAGAAUAUGGGAAAAACCUUAGCCCACUAUUGUCAUAAAUAGAUGAACAAGAUAGCCAUGGCAAGCUCAAUGAUAGAUGUUAAGUUCUGAUAUCUUUCUUACACUAUCAUCAAUAGAAAAGAG